CGGUGACGACCCCGCCCUAGGGGUAUCUCUGAAAUAUAUCCCCGGUGGCUCCUCAUUAUGUCCAAUCUUGUUUGGGUUUCGAUGCGAUUAUCCAGUCCCAAAGCUGAAAUGGGCGGGGGGGACGCGGGCUCGAGAGUGGGAAGGGCUGAAAGCCUGAAGCUCGGUCUGGAUCUUCUCCGACUGGUGGCUCUGGUUUUUCCCUUUUCCUCUGUCUUGACAGGUUCCUCCAAAACUUGUGCCGCCAGUCCUGAGUCAGAUCUCUUACCCGAGAGAUAGGAAAACUGGAUCUGAGACAGCCACUAACUAGCUGCGGCCUCUUGUCCAUAAAGGAAGAGGGCAACAGGGCAUUCACAAGUACCUAACUCCGCUCCCUUGGGAACCCAGAGCAGUCAAGAAGGACGGAAGGUGGCCGCUGGAGGUCGCCGUGGCCUCGCGAUACCACCAACAGAAAUGGAGAACUGUUGAUGCAGAUUGCCAACAAAAAUCCUCAACUCUGGAGUGGGCUUUGAAUGUAUAACACCAGGCCACCGGGCUAAAAUAUCUCCAAACGUCUUUGUUUACAGAGCAUUGCAAACCCCCUCCCCUCCAGUAUUGGGGAUCAAAACCAGGAAACCAUCGGAGCUCUCAAGACAGGUCUUGUGGUCCUCCUGCCUCAGCCUCCGGAGUAGCUGGGAUAACAGACGUGGCAACGGUUGCUCCCACCUAGAGCAUUGGAACUUUUAUUACAAGAAGAAGACAGUUAUCCAGUAAGGGGAGUGAUAUGCUUAAGGUCACAAAACCCUCCCUGACAGCACUGAGGAGUUUCCGGUCCCGGUAUAGAUCAGUGAGGAAGAGACUAUUGACAAGAGUGGAUUUACCCAGGCCAGACUCUCCUGACAGGAGAGAGGACAGAGGCACCAAAUCAGAAGAUCUUUCCCCAGCCUUAAAGGAGCAGUGCCAGACUCUUUUGAGUUCUUAUCAGAAGCCACCAGCUGGGCCUCCUGCCCUUGCUGAUACUACGUUUCCAGUGCCCUUGGGGGCAGACAAGAGUGGAGUUGGGACUGACACAGGACAGAAAGAGAUCCCAGGUGCAUACAUACACACAUACAUGCACAUAAACCCUAAGGCUGUCUGCCCGCUUCCUGGGUCUUCCUAUACCCACCCACUGAAAGGCAAAGGCAGGGCUGAAGUCUCUACCUCAGAGGAAUCAUAGGGAUCAAGCCUGCCCCAUGGGCUGCGGGGCCGGGUGCAGGGGCUGAGAGGGGCUGGGGCACAGAAGUACUGCUGGCUGUCAGAGGACUGGGGCCACAAGGGGGGUCUGAACUCCAGGUCAUCAUCAUAGAAGUCUGGGGCCUGGGGCCUUGGCUCCGGGAUUUGGGGCCUGGACACCCUGGUUCUGGCCUCCGGUGAGUGGCAGCGCUCGCUUCCUGGGAAGUCCUUCACGAACUUGCUCAGUUCUGCAUCAUCCGUGGUGUCCUCCAGGAAAUGCUUGAUCUGGAGGACGUGGGUUGGAGGUAGUGGGGUGGGGAGAUGGAGUAGGUGGGAGGUGGCAGGAGGGAACCGGAAGGGAAGAACAAGGAAGAAGGCAGACAUAGGAGGUGAGAAGGAGAGGGGAGAGGCACUCAUGGUUAGAAGGGAAAGAACUUGGCAGCCAGGCCAGAGGAUGUGCUCACCAUCCCCCUUACCUUCUCACCAGUAUCCUCAAGCUAAGACAUGGGGAAGGGCCCCAGGGUCCAGGAGGAUCCCUAGGCAGCCUCCAAAGCCCUGCUCUCCAGUUUUGGAGCUCCGUCUCAGCAGGAUGUUUGUUGAGGCUGCCCUUUCUGGGGGUCUGGACAAGCCAGGAUCCAGGGACUGUCCCACAGGCCAGGAAGUUAAAUUGAAUAAGAGGGAGAACAGCGUGGCUGAGGACUCAAGGUGAGUACAGGGAGUCAGAAGGCUAGGGGCACAGGGAAUUAGGACAGAAAGAAAGGAGCUGCCUCCCAAGCAGGUCAAGAACCAGCAGGAGGUUCUGUGUCUGUCACUGCUAGUCAGCAAGCUGGGAAAACCCAGAUAAGGAUUCUACCCUGGGUUCUCACUCUCCAGGGUUCAGUGCCCAGAGUUCAAUCCUGCUGACCCUACUCUUACUCCAGAUGCAAAACCACACCAGAAUCUGGCCCUGGACCCCAGGAGAGAAGAAAAAACCUACCAGUGGAUGCUGAGUAUGGACAGAGGGCAGCCAGGAGGGACCAAAUGAGAGGUUGGGAGGACACUGGAAGAGCCUGGAAGGAGGCUGGACCUCCAAGACUGCUGACGGCCCCCAAAUGAGAGGAACAUCUAGGGAAACCCCUCAGUAGUCACAGUGUGGUGGUAGGCAGAGAAUGGAGUGGCUCCUCUAUAGAAGCCAGUUCCACUCCACCCCCAGCUUGGGAGAUGGGCAGCUCCCCCUCAGCUCUAGACCCUAUAUCUUCCCCUCUCUCCUUUGGGGGUCAACAUCCUUUGUGGAGUGCCUGGCAGUGCUGGGCUCAGCUCUGCCUCACAACACCCACGUGCCACCCCCAGACAAUGAACAACGGCCGGCUGCAGAAGCUGACUCACCCUCUGGGGGUUGGCCAAGCCAAGGGGGCUACCCUGGACCACUGUGGAGUCUCAGGCAAAGUGAAGGAGAUAAGAUGGUCAGAGUCUUCCUGCAUAGCUCCAUUUUACAAAGGGAUGAAAUGAAAGAGGCAGAUGUGCACACUGUCAGUUUAUGCCAGAGGGAAAGGACUAGGAAAGGGAAGCUAGAAGGAAAAGUCUCCUAAGAGUUACUUUCAGGCGUCACCUCUCAUCCCCAUACCUGCUUAUAACAAACUUCGGAGCUUGCCUGGACAGAAGGGAGGGAAGAGACCCUUUAGGCUGAAACUAGAACUGGCAUGUGGAGGUUUAGUGAUCACAAGAGGCAAUCCUAAGACAGGCCUGAUAUUUGUGAGAUCUGUUAGGUUAACUAUACAACCCCUUUUAUGCUUAUUGGUCUCGCAUAAUGAUUUAAUUGUGUCCCUUUUCACUCUCAAAAUUAUCCCAGCUUGGACAAUUAAUGAUACAGCAAAGAGAAGGAAUGGGGCUUGAGGGAUAGCAUGUCCUGUUGUCUGGCAGCUAAUGAGUCUGAGGAAUUCCAGGAAACGUCAUCUUUCUACACAACCCCACAGAGCCCUAGCAGUUGGUCUGGGGAUUGGCUAAGGAUGGGAGAGAGAACUCUGCUCAGGGGGCACUGAGCAGAGGGGCAACAGGAAAGGGAAAAGGGAAGGUGCUGAUGGAGAGCCCUGUCCCCCCACAAUCUUCCAGCAGAGACACCAGGAACUCGGCACUGUCCUUUCUGACAGCCCUGGCUAUGCAUCAGCAUGGAGGAAGCCAAAGGGCUCUAGCCAAAGAGUCACAACACUAGGAUCCUCACCUCCCAUCUGUUCAUACCCCCCAACUCUGCCACUGACUUUGAGCACCACUCCCAGUUAAGGCAGGGGGAAGUCAAGUCAGGUCCACCCAACUCCCAGAGCAGCAUCUUACCCCAGCUUCAGUCCCAUCCUCAGGGACAGAAUUCCCUUGCCAUCCCAGUGAACGGUCCAUGCCCCACACUUCAGACUCCCUGUGAGCAAGCUCUAGGUCUAAUUUUAUCUCCCAGGCAAAGUUCCUCACACACAGAAACAACCUUGUCUUGAUGCUCUUGUUGUCAUCUGGCUUCCGGACUUGCUCCUUUCCCUUUUUCUUUGACCUCCCUCUGUCUCUGGCAGGGGCCAAAAAAGCCUGUGGAAUGUCCUACCCCACUCCCUCCUCCUCCUCCCCUUCCCUUGGCUCCCACCCUCCAAGGGCAGCUCAGCUGCAGCAGGAUCACUUGGUUCCUCUGCAGUCCCCUCCUCCUCUGAUUGGCUGCCCCAUGACGCCUGCUCGCUGACUGCCCUGGUGGGCACAGCACCAACCUCCCAAGUCUAUCUGCAGCACAGACUCUUGACCCACUUGGCCUCUUCUGUUAACCCCCAAGGACCCUGAUGCUUGCCUGAAGACUAUGAACUGUCCCCAAGGUGACCUGACCCAUCAGUACAUCCAGGACAGUCACCCAGGAAACCUAUUCCCAACUCCACCCCCCAUCUCUCACCUUAAGCAGUGCUGAAGUAGGGUAGGAUAUCCAAUGAUCCUCUGAGUAUAAGUUCCAGGGGUCUUCCCAAGUGUCCCUUUGUUUUCUCCCAGCAGGAGAAACUGCUAUCCCACUGUCUUAGAAAAUGUGCUCCUAGAUUUGCCUGCAGAGAAUCCCAGCCACAGAAGCAGCUUGGCUCCAGGGACUCUGACCACCCUAGUAUACCUGACCUCUUACUCAGGAGGAUGGGUAUCAAUUCUAUCAUCCCAUCAUUCUCACAAAAUCAAUGAGAGAGCUGCUAGCACUUGGUCUCUGAGGGGCAUGGGUUCAAGCAUAUGGGAAACUGAAUUCCAGAGGCUCAAGAGCUGCCAUUUAGGUGGGAGAUGAAUUGAGGGGUCUGGCUGGCAGUGUACAAAUGGAGCACUCCACUAGGAGUCAGAAGGCCAGUGUUUCUGGUUGGGCUGGAAACACCCCCUUGUGAGUCUUAAUAGUGUCUUUAAUUUCAGGGUCUUAAUGUCCAACUGUGAAUGGCCCUUCCUUGCCUCCCAGGGAGACUGGGGAGAGAAAUCACUCUGAGAUACCUCAAGCUGCUUUGAACCUGAGAGAAGUAGUACUCAAGUCACAGUAUAGUCAUUAAUGUUGAUCUGUCAUUCUUUUCACAUGCAAAUGUAAAUUCCCUGGGGCUGCUGGGCUGGGGAGUUCUCUACACUGAUUCCCAAAGCAGCUAGGACACCAACCUCCUUUCACAAGGAGACCCUCAUAGAGGACUGUGGCCUGACAUGAACCAGUAGUCAGCCUAAGGACUUGGCUGGCUUAAGGAUAGGGGCCUGAGACUGGAGACUUUGUUGGUGGUGGUGUCUCUAAUUAGAAAAGAACAGGGUGGCCUCAGCCAAACUGAAAGCACCAAGACCUUAGCUGAACUGAACUUGGUGUGUAACAGAAAAAGUCCCUCUGGUCCCUGCUGGGCUUGGCACUGGGGAUAAACAGUGUCUCCCCAGGCUUCUAUCCCUGGAACAAUCAGCCUGUCCAUCCCCCAGUGGGGAAAAGGAGUGGGGGCCAGGAUCAGGACAGGCACCACUUAGCCUUUCCAAGGAACCCUCUUUGGGGAAGGUUAUAGGGUCACCAAGACUUCCUGGCCAAGACUUGGGCCUACGCCUGGACACAGCUUGAGAGACAAGAGCCCAAAAGGUUGGCCUUUCUAAACCUGAAAGCUUCUGAUUCCACAGGAUGCAGGGAGUUUCCCUCUGGUGGCUGCCCUCAGCCAACAUCCUGCCCCACAGGGUGGUCAAGAAUCCUCUCCUGCUGUAAACAGCUUGUGCCUCCCAAAGCAGAGGGCAAAGACUGGGAGGCUUCCAGACUGGGAAAGAUGGAUGUGGCCUGGAGGCCCAGACACCCAUAGGCUGUGUUUGUGGCAGGUUCUGGCAACAAUGGCAAGAAAAGAGCUGGCAUCCUCACAACCAAGCAUCAAAAACCUCCUACCUGGGAAUCUCUAAGAAGGCUGGCUGGGGUUACUGCUUCUCUUCCCACUACAGGCAGGUGGCAGGAAUGAGUCCCCGCCAACCCCCACACACUGCAGAAGGACCUAGUUGGGGAGUUGGGGGGGGGGGGUAGGUGCAGCAGAGGAAGCUUCCCCACUGUUCCUGUCUGGGAGGCAAAUGAUACAGCUGAUCCCACCCCACUGGAUGGUGGGGUGGGCUUUCCUCUCAGGUGUUCAGGUGUUUCUUUAAGAAAGGGGCUGCCAGGUUUUGGAAAGGAGGGACCAAGAGUCUCACCAUCCCUUUUAGGAUGCUGGCAGUUUUGUGGAUCUCCUCUAUGUUUUCCAAAGGAAGUUGGUGCUAGCUUCUGCGCUCCCGGUAGGUGAGUGAGGAAGGAUCAUCUAGGUAACAGAUGACUCAGGCAAGGGCGGAGACCCUCACCACCCUCAUCGCUGACGCGCCUUCCCCAGAACAACAUGCUGGUCUCUACCGCGGGCACCUCCCACAACACAGACCCACCCCUUCCUCCAAGACCAAGGGCAACUCGUCGGGGGUCGCGGCCUGUUCGGUAGCUGCUUGGCUUGGGGGGAGAAACUUGGGAACGGCGACGCAGCGCCACCCGCUAACAGUGCCUGCCCGAGCCUGGAGCUGGCGACAGCUCCUCUCGCCCCGCAUAGCCGGGGCUGCAGCGCCGCGGGUCUCCUCGGAGCCGCCCGGGAGCGGCGGGCCCUGAGCGCCCUGGCCCUGCCCUGCACCCGCCGGUCUUACCAUGGCUGCAGCCCGGGCCGGGCCGGCUCCGCCUGGACAGCGCCCGAGCGACCCGCGGCUGGAGCUGAGCGCGGACCUCACCGCACCGCCUGCCCCCACUCGCCUCCCCGAGUCCCGACCGCUUGGGGCGGGGCGAGUCGGCGGGGGCGGGGCGAGUCGGGCCCCGGGAGGGGCCUGCACCUCCGCGGUGGGUGCCCGCGCGAACUAGGCUUGGGGCGCCAGCCAUCCCCUGAAGCAUAGAGCAGGGUGGAGGCCUCGGCUCCUUGACCCUGAGCUACUUUGGCUACCUGGCUUUUUCUUAAUCCUUGGAGUGGCUUCUUUGGACAGCUCAGGACCACGGGAGUUUAAACCAGUACCCAAAAAGAAAGCAACAACCACCUAGCAUCCCUAGAAGGAGAUGCCUUUGCAAAGGGAGGAGGAGUUGCCAUACGAGUUGGAGAGAAACAUGUGGUCACCCCAGGGAUUCAUCAAAGUGUUAUGGAAGUUUGAUGUCCAAGUUACUGAUUGUCCAUACCCUCACCACACCUCCUAAAGGAGAAUGUCAAAACAUUCUCCAGCUCUAUCCAAGCUGUGGAAAAGACAGGUUAGCAGUAAGUUCCCUUUGUGCAGGACCUCAGAUUAGAGAUUAAAGAGGAUUUACUGCAGAAAUUAUUCAGGGAUCAUCUGCUGGAAGGCUAGAAGGGGGAGGCUGAGUGGCUUUAAUAGGGCAUUGGAGUCUUGCCCAGAGCUGAGGAAAGCUGGAAAGGCCUCUGGGGAGGCCAGCCUAGGCAUGACCCAGGCUCAGCUGGACCAUACUUCCUCUGACAAGCAGGUGAGAAGCUGUAGGACAGAUGCUUCAGCAUCUUUAAAAGCAUUAGAAGCUCAGAGGUGCCAGAGCAACAGCUAGAGAGAGGUACAUGCUUGGAGGUGGGGAGUUGGUGAGGUCCAGAAGCAUCCCCCUCAGACCCCAAAAGCCCUCCUACAAGGACAGGCUGACUGGCCUUUGCCUGUAUUUGUUCUGGACAAAACUGAGCCCCAUAGGUAUGGCGCUGUCUAUGGGUGGAAGUGUCAGAUGCCUGCCUAUCUUAUUUCUAUCUGAUCUGUGAGCUAUUGGCCUCAAUUGAGACCAGUCAGUAUUCAGUCAAGGGAGGAAUAGCAGAUAAGAUCCGGCUCUGGAAAACAUGGAACUGCUGUAGGAGAUAUGACUGGAUAUUUGGCACUGGUGAACUGGGAGAUUAGAGAGGUUGUUGCUUAAAGACAUCAGGAGCAAAUAUUCAUUAACCAGCAAGUUGAGGAGAAAAACUCCUAGUAGUUGGGCAACCAUGAGCAACUCACUUCACCUCUCAGGCUCUUAGUUCCUCCUGAAAAUGAGGGGAAUUAAACUAGGUUAUUUUUAAGUUUCCUUGCAAUUUCUGGCAUUCUAAAAGUAGAUUUAAUGAAGAAGGAGGGUAUGCUGUAGGCCUUGGAGGAAGAAAGCAAGGUAACAGAAGGAGAUACUAAAGAAAACUUGGACUUGAAGAGACUCAGAUGGCUCUGGAAGCAUAGGAAAAUGGGGAUCUACAGCUUGACUCCAGUGAGAAGGGACCUCUGAAGUUCUAGAGAGGCUCCCAGAAAAGGCCUGGGGUAGACCCAGGAAAUCUAAAGCUUACUCAGGAGGACAAAAGACCUAAAGAGAUAAUCAAUGGCUGUUAGAAGUCUGCAGAAGCAGUAGUGGCUACUGCCAUCAGAUUCAACGGUCACGAGACCCCACUGUUCAAAGCCCUAGACCCCUAUUACUGAUGCAGGUACAUUUAUCUUGGAUAAAUUCUACUUUUAUGAGUAACUAUAACACACCAAUUUUUUAAAAUGAAUUAUUAGAAGGACCAACAGAGGUGAGGCCAGGGAUUGGAGGAGGGAGGAGAAGAGGCAAAGGAGUAGCACCAGGGAUCGAAAUGGAGCAAAUUAUGUUAUAUAAUUUAUUAUUAUAAAUAAUAAUUUAUAUUAUUAUUAAUUAAUAACUUUUAUUAUUUGAUUUAUAAUAAUUAUUAUAUAUAACCCUAUAUUCAUGAAUAUGUUAAAACUGAGCCCCACAAUUAUGUAAAACUAUAAUGCACAAAAAUAAAAAAGAAGAAUACUUCUUGGGUGCUUCCAAUCUGUAGUCUGUGACUUGAGGUGGGGAGGAAAAGAAGGCAGCCCCAUCAGAGAGUCUUAUUUUCCUUUAUCAUAAGAACCUUCCUCCCCAGAACUCAAGCUGUAUUUAAAGUGUGGACACAGAAACAGCUCAAAAGGCAGCUCAAUGCCUAACAUGCAGAAGACCCUGGGUUCAUUCCCUGGCACCACACAAAAAUAUAAUUAGUUCAGCUAACUCAUCCUCAUCUGUGCUGGAAUCCCCACUCCUCUCUGGCACCCACUGCUCAGGCUCCAGAAAGCCCUGUGUCCAAAGGCAUGAUUGUGCCAGCUUGCCUUGAGAGAGGUGAGGCCCUUGGGGCUGGGGAUGUGGCUCAAGCGGUAGCGUGCUCGCCUGGCAUGUGUGUGGCCCGGGUUCGAUCCUCAGCACCACAUACAAACAAAGAUGUUGUGUCCACCGAAAACUGAAAAAUAAACAUUAAAAUUCUCUCUCUCUCUUUCUCUCUCUCUCUCUAAAAAAAUCAAUCUAGAAUUCUAUACACAAAAACAAAUGUCAAAAAAAAAAAAAAAAAAGAGAGAGAGAGAGAGGUGAGGCCCUAAGAGAGGACUGAGACCAUGGAACUUAGCUCCAAGCAAAGAAUCUUGGGGUUUGAGUCCCUUUCUAACCACGGUACCAGAGGUCUAACAUAAGACAUGCUGGGUGAAAUAAAAGCUGCAAAUAGACUUGAGCCAUUCUGCCUGCACAGCCCCAGUAUGCUAGCCUUGUAGCAUUUAGAGAGUUCUCAGAGAAGAUGGCCUUGGCAUAUGUCCCCAUGCCAGCUUGGACUGUUAACAUCACUGCCUCAAAGUCCCUUUCCCUGCCUGGGCCCGUUUCCCUCAGUGAAAGAGGCCGAACUCCCCUAGCUCCAGACCUCUUGCUCCAUGUUGCUGGAGUUCCCAUACCUGAUCCGAAGCAGGGCCGACUUACAGCAGCCCUCCUAUAAGUCAUUGACGACAGAGUGCCUUCCCAUCUCUAGCCGGCAGGUGGCCUAGCCAAAUUUGCCUCAGCACAACUCAGCUCUGACUUUUCCUUGAUAUUUAACAUCCCACCAGGCGUUAAUGUCCUUGUCUAGAGUACAAUUUCUCAGGCACUGCUAGGGUGGUGAGCCAAAUGUUUGGGGAGUAGCUGCUUAGCUUAGCAAAGAGGGUGACUCCUCUGGUAAACUCAAGUAACCACAGCUCCCCCAUGUUGUUGUGACUCCUUUAUUUAGGGUAGGCCAACAUGGUCUGUAUGGAAAACCUCCCAGCCCCCUCUACUGGGUCUUUCCUGACCACACAUGGCAAAGGUUGUGUGGCACAGGUGCUAAUAAGCAAGGAGACUGCACUCAGGCUAAGCCAGGGCCAAGGUUCAGGCCAAGAAUAAAGACAGAUUACCACAGGAAAUCAGGAUUUCAGAUCUGCAUGACUAGCAAAAGACUACUUUUGCCUUUCAGUAGCUGUUUUCUCUAAGUGGUGCAAGAACUAAUUGUACCUCCCUUCCCCCAGAGGUGGAUGAGUCACUGAUGAUAUAGUCAGAGAGCCCUAGAGGGGUGAGGGCAAAGGGCCAUCACUAGGUUGUGUCUUUUUUAAUAUUUAUUUUUAGUUUUUGGCGGACACAACAUCUUUGUAUGUGGUGGCUGCACGCAUGCCAGGCGAGCGCGCUACCGCUUGAGCCACAUCCCCAGCCCUAGGUUGUGUCUUUUAAGGAAAGCUCAGCCAGUCUGUCCAGCAAGGUCUGUGCAGAAGGAAGAAAUCAAAAUAUCUUAAGAAUUGUAUUUCUUGGUUCCUGCUGAACAGUCACAGAGAGGGGCAUUCCAAAGGUGGCAGGGUGCUGGAAGUCAGCCACUCUGAUAGGGCAUGUUCUUCUAACACCCACCCUAGGCAGGGUAGACGGAGGAGCUCAGAGCUGGAGGGACUUGCAAAUCUCCAUGUGACUAUCUAACUGAAUGUCUGACUCUCCUCAUGAACUUCCUUAUCUUUCCUGCCUCCAUCUGAAUACCUCCCGUGGCCAACUAACAACAUUGGACUUCAACCUUUGGGCAGCUGAGUUCCAAGGUCUUUCUCAAAACUGAGCCAAAAUCUGUGUUGUCCCCCUGUCUUUUACCCUCCAAGUGUUUCCAUACUAGAAGCUUUGCUGACUCAUUUCAUUGAACUUUGCUUUGUCCUUGGAUGUCCACACCUUCUCAAGUGACCCAUCUAUAUACUUUUCUCUUGUAAAUUAAUCAUAAGCCCCUCAAGGGCAGGAGCCUGUCUUCUAUUUUAACCUCUAUUCAUUUCAAUCCAGGGAACAUGAUGUCAACAUGUGAUGUGAUGUCUGCCCUAGUAACCAGGUCCCUGCCCCCAAGAGUUGACUGAUCAAUAUGAACUCACUAAAAGGAUGCAUUGAUUAGUGUUCCAUUCUGACUUUUUAGAGCGGGACAAGCCUUGAGGCUGUGGGCUACAUUGACCCAUCACUUGCCCUUAAUUCUGGCUGCUUUCAAGUUCAUGCCCACCUCCCUGGCUCAUAAUUCACAUGCAAGUAAAUGGAUACUGCUCCCACUAAAACCAUCCUCUUUGUAGUUUUUUUAAAAUAUAUUAUUUAUUGUCAAUUGACCUUUAUUUUAUUCAUUUAUAUGCAGUACUGAGAAUUGAACUCAGUGCCUCACACAUGCUUGCCAGGCAAGCAUUCUACCACUGACUGAGCCACAACCUCAGCCCCUCAUAAUUAUUUUGGGCAGGCCAACAUGGUCUGUAUGGGAAGUUAUUUUGCCAGGAAGAUAUGGCUACACAAGAAGGAUUUCUAUACCACAUACUUGAAACUCUGAGGCAAGAUCUUCUUAAAGAGCUUCCAACUUUGAACAAAUCCUGAGCCUCAGUUUUUUCAUAUGUCAAAUAGGAAAAGGUAUAAUGUAAGGGUAAAAGAAAUUGAAGUUAAAGCGUAAAAGUUAAAGGGUAAAAGACCGGGUGCUGUAAAAGUUUCUAAGCUGCAAGGUCUGAGUUAAAAUGUAAAGGAGGUAUUGUUAGGUUUCUAUAUUACCUGCAAAACCUGAAAUUUCUGUAGCUGUUAAGACAAUGCUUAGAACCGCCCAGUAAACAUUUCCCCUGAUUGUCUGGUUGUUUAAUAACUGAAGGGGUCUGUGUGGUUGCACGCAGGCCUUGCAGGGCCUGAACCAAUCAGUUUGAAUGUGUACUCUCCUUAGGAAUGACCUAUCACUCCAGCCUGACCUGUUCCCGCCAAUGAAUGAACUAAUCAUGUUUAGGAGUUGUUGUUCAAUUUUCCCGCGCCUCAUGAUGAUUUGUUCUGAUGUAUACAAAGCCCUCUGCCCUCUCCAAAAAGUGUACUUAAGCAAUCCUCAGCCCCUGCUCGGGGCUCUGGGCUGCUUUCCCUUCUUGAGUGGGCACUGAGCCCCAGCAUGCUGGUUCAAUAAAUCCCCCUUCUGCCAAUUG